GUAGUGUGGAAGAGAUGCCAUACAACAACUAACGUAGACCUGCAUGCUCGAGCCGAGGCCAUUGAAAAUAAGUAAAAUGGCGCGAGCUCGGUUUCCUGGCAGACCUGGCCAAAGAGUUGGCCGAAACUAUGUUAAUUAUUUCACAGAUGAAACGAAAUUUCAUUUAGACUUGACAUCCAUUACUAGCAUUAUGCCUAUUUCAGAAAACAUCAAGAAAGGCUUACAACACUUCUACGAACAGUUUGGAACGUCGGGUGAAGAAGAUGAAUUUGAAGGAUUUAAUUUUGAAGAGCAAAGGCGAGCUGAGCUUAGAAAAAAGAUGAAAAAGAAAAAAGAAAUGGCAAUUAUUACUCGACCAGGUAUUCAAGGCAAUUAUUUUCAGUUGCGAAAGAAACCUAGACAAGUGUCUGGGUCAUCUUGCUCUUCCUCUGAAACUUCAGAUUCUUCAAGAGGACGUUUAGGUAUGAGACACUUAGCAAGGAAAUCUUAUGAUAAAAUGAUAAAGGAAGGCUUAUGCAUAUCUUAUGACAUGUUAGGAGCAACUGUAGAUCAUGAUAAAAAGACACAGUGUGAAUCCUUGGUUUGUAAUACAAAAUUGUUUUCAACUGAUGACAGCAAAAAUAUAUAUGAGAUUUCUUCUCAAAAAAGCAGAGCUGAAAAAACAUUAAUAUGUGAAAUAGAAUCAUUACCUAUUACAAAACCCCAUAGAAGACAUUCUAGUAAAACAUUGGCAAAGAGGCUAUUAGAUCGAGCCAAAAAAGGUCAGUCCUUAAGUGAAAAAUGUGUUUUAUCAAAAUCAUGUAAUACUGUGCUACGGUGUUUAAGAGAUCAAACAAUAAGAAAACGUCAUUCUGCUUCUAGGAAGCUGAGUGCUACAAAACAACAGAAAGAAAAGUCUGAAGCAAGAAUGCAGAAAUACAAUCAUCCUAUUACAUUAGAAAAGAAACGUGGACGUAAGAAGUCUUCAGAAAAUCUUUAUAAACAAGAGAGGUUAUCAGUCUCUCCUGUUUUAGAUUACCCUGCAUCCUAUAAGAAGAAAACAUUUACAAUUCCAUCAGUUAGUGCUAACUCUGCUAGAAAAAUUAUUCCAAGAAAGAGAUUUUUAGAUGAAUUUGAUUCACCAGUACAGUAUUCAGUAAAUAAAAAACCAAGAUUUCAGAGCAAAAACUUAUCAACCACACAUAUGUCUUAUCCUUAUGUUUCAAGUAAGAAAGUACUAGAUGAAAUUGAUGAUUCAAAGAAGAUAGGUUUGCUUGAUCAGCCAUUGGUGCUAGAAGGAAAAAGACCUUGGAAACCCAGUCUAAAAGUUCAGAUGAAGCUCUCUGAGAUGAGCUAUGAUUCUCCUUUUGGAUUAAAAAAAUCAGAAGGAGACAGUUCUGGUACCUCUUCAGGUUCGUUUAAAGAUUUGAUAAAGCGAGACAUGGUCAGUAAGUAUGCAGAUAUUAUGGCAAAAAAAACGAGAGAAAGGGCUAAGUCGUGUGGUCGUCAGGAUGGUUAUAAGAAACUUUCAAAAGAGAAACCAAAAAAACAAAUGAAAUCCAAAUCUAAUAUACCAACAACAAAAGAAUGUGAUGUCAAUAAAGUUAAAAAGGUUGAAGAAAAUAGACUAGAAGAUAAAGUUGCAGCCAAAAUUGAAAAGAUAUUGAAAUCCCAGUGGGAAGGAAGAUUGCAUCAGUCUUCUGAUGGAAUCUCAGGUGAAUUAAACACUAAUACUAUUUUGUCAUCAAAGCAUACAUCAUCUAACUUGAUUAUUGGUUCAGCUGAACAGCAAAAAAUUUCUUCACAAGAGACAACUAAAGGAAUAUUAAGAAAAGCUCGUUUACAACUUAACAAGAGGACAUUAAUGAAGUUGAGACAACCAGCUAGUAUUAAGAAACUAAGUGAACAGUUUCAGAGAGAGAGUGAUGAAAUUCCAAGACUUUCUUCCAGUAAGAUUGUACCGAUACCUUUAUCUCCUGUAGAAGUGAUAAACAAAAUCAAAACAUCAGAAACAGGUCAUAGAAUUAUUACUGUACCUGUGAUGUCCACUAAACUUCAACCAAAGGUGGAAACUUUGAAAUCAUUUUCACCAGAUUCAUCAGUGUCACAUGUUGCAUCCAAUGCAGAAUUACUUCAUUCUACAGUGAACCGUGAUGCUUCUUUUCUUGUACAGUCUUCAAGGUCGGAAUCUUCCAAAACCUUUGUAAAUGACUCCAUGCAGCAUAACACAUUGAUUCCUAGUGGGGUUCCUCUCUUACCACAAGCAUCUCACACAUCUGAAGAGCCACCUAAGCUUGUAAAGAACAAUCAUUCUACUGGAACGAAGUCCCAAGGAAACAUCCAGUUUGGUCAACCAGGAACUAUAACUUGUGCAAUUUGUGGACAUGUUAAAUUCUACUCUCGUGUUCAGAGAAGAUUUAAACAGUUCAGCUGUGAAUCUUGUAGCAAGUUCUUCUCUCACUUUAUUAGGAGGCCAAAACAGCUGUAUUGUUCUAAAAAAGGCUGUUGUCCAGUUCUUCCUCGUUCUGAGUUGCCUCCAGGACUUACAGUUGCUCUCCAGGCAAAAAUACGUGCUCUAGAGCAACGAUGUAAAGCUUGUUGGUUGAAGGUUUGUUACCAAAAGUUCUUUGUCACACCAAGCGUUCGAGAAAUUGUCUUACAGUUUACACCAAGGAUUGAAAGCACUGAAGAGCCAAUGCUAACUGGAACAGGGAAUUUAGUGAAGUUUAAGGAUCCUGUUGUGGGUUUGUCUGUGAGGGCUAAGAGACAGAAGUUAAAAAGGAUCAGAGAAGAGAAAAUCAAGAAAAUUAAGCAGGCUCAGGGACUGGAUAACAUUUCUGUUUUAAAAGUGAAGAAAAAUAAUAAUAUAAAGUCUAAUAAAACUGAUUCCAAAGGAAAUUGUCGAAGCCUAAAACCCUCAAAGAAGUUAAAAAAUAAGACUGGAAAACAGCAGAAGCUUCACGAGGAUGGAAUAUCAACACAGCUGGGACAGAAAAAAACAUCUAACAAGCUUAUGGAGAAAAGACAAAAAGGAAAUAAAUUAAAAGCAAAGAAACCUGAAAUAAAAAAUUCUUUGGACACUACUGCAAAUAAACCAUAUAUUGAUAAAUAUCUAGAUACUUUUGAAACUCCAGGUUCAAGUAAAUUGACUGACAGUUUUUGUAAAUCAGAACUUUGUGUUCCUCCUGUACUUGAAGAAGACUACAUUUCUAAGCAGGAAGAAGAAGAUACAAUCUCUGAGAAGAAUGAAAUUAUUAGUGGUCAGUCUGGCAGUAAAGUGUCUCUUCAAGAAAUUCCUGUGUUUGAAGAAGAAAAUCCUGAUUCUCAGGCAAUAGUGGUACGUAAAGGACCAAGAAUCAAACAUGUCUGUCGAAGGGCAGCAGUAGUAUUAGGUUUGAAGCGAGCAAAAUUUCCAGUGCGCAAAGAGAAGAAGCGAUUCAGUCUGAGUGCCUUGCCUGUUGAAGAGAAAGAAAAAAUCUUGGAAACUGAGUCAGGACAGAGUACUUCUGACCAUAAUGGCACAGGUCCUCCAGAAUUGAACAAACACUCACCAAGUAGAACAGAAAAAGAUAAUGUAGAAGGAAUGACUAAAGAAAAGGCUAAACCUGAGAAUAAGGUACCCUUACCAUCCAAGAAGCUUUCAACAGUGCCCUGUAAAAAAACACCUAAGGUAUCUGCCAAAAAGGUUCAGCAAGGUGGGAUGAGGAAAGUUCGCUGUAGAGAAUGUCAAGGCUGUCUUGCAGAAGACUGUGGGAAAUGUGUUUACUGUCUAGACAAGAAGAAAUUUGGUGGACCAAAUGUUAUCAAACAAGCCUGCAAGUAUCGUCGCUGCUUGAGACCCCAAAUGCCUGCUUUUAGCAAGAAGGUAGUUGAACGUCCACCACCAAAAGGUGAGGGUGAUGACCAUAUGGGUGGGUUUGGAGGAAGUGGUUCAUCAGGAGUUGGUACAGCUAUGUCUCCUUCUUCUAGUUCUCCUUCAUCCACUCACAGUGGAAAUAACAACAGUGGAAGUAGUAGUAGCAGCAGCAGUAGUAGUAGUAGCAGUAGUGGACGUUGUGGCUCAGGGUGUGGUUCAGCAGGGACUUCAUCUAGUACCAGUGGCUGUGAUAAUGGAAAGGAAUGCUAUGGUUCUACAUCUUUGGAUCCCCAAGUGAAAGAAAACAAUUCCUUUGUACACUGUACUUGUGAAACUGUUUCCUGUGGUAGUGGUACAUGGUCAGCCCUUGAUCCAUCUCUGGGCUCUUGUAGUGUAGUAGCUUCACCUUUUCUUGAGGACAAGGUCAAUAAUAAUGAAAAUAUCCAUAAUCAUUCAGAUUGCAGUCACAAAACAGUUUGUUCACAAGUUUUUCCGAAUUCAGUAGUCCCACUUUCCAGAAUAACACCUUCUCAGUCAGCCCACUCAGUUUGUACUAAGGCCAGAACAUCUUCGACUUGGGACAUAACAAGACCACAGAAGACGUAUGAAAUCAAAAGACAACCAUAUCGAAAACCUUGCCUUAUCUAUGCAGAUUAUUGGGAAGAUUAUGAUCCUCAACACAUUUGGAAUGAAGGAUUUGCCCUGAUUGGUUCUCAGGUGUUUCCAGUCAGAAACACAUGUUAUCUAUGUGGCAGUGCUGGAGUGAAAGAGUUUAUCUAUUGUAGUAAUUGCUGUGAACCAUUUCAUCAAUUUUGUCUUGAUGAAUGUGAUGUUCCCCAAGCAGAAAAUGUUCUCACUUGGUGUUGUAAGCGCUGUCAAAGAUGUUUAGCUUGUGGACGACAAAAAAAUCUUUUAAAAUGUAGCAAAUGUCACAAUACAUACCACUCAGAAUGCUUGGAAUUGAAUUAUCCAUCAAAACCCUCUAGGAAAAAAAAGAUCUGGAUGUGCCCUAAGUGUGUGAAAUGUAGAAGCUGUGGCACCACCACUCCAACUCUAACAAAGCUUGGAGUAUUGUGGAACUUUGACUGCUCACUUUGUCUGGAUUGUACAAAGUUAAUGGAAAAAGGCAACUUCUGUCCUAUUUGCAAGAAGUGUUAUGAAGAUGAUGAUUUUUUGUUAAUGAUGGUGCAGUGUUCAAAGUGCAAGAAUUGGGUUCAUGCCAAAUGUGAAAAUAUCACAGAUGAGAUGUAUCAAAUGAUGUCUUAUCUGCCAGGAGGAGUAGCAUAUACCUGCAAGUGUUGUGCCCCUCAGAGACCCCCACAGUGGCUUACAGCCAUUAAAAUGAAAUUGCAGACUGGUCUGAAAUCUGUAUUAGUCAGUUUGCUUCAAGCAAGAAGUGCCAGGCAUCUUAAAAAUAAAAAGAAACACAAGACCAAAGGAAGAACAGGGACAGAAGGCAAUGCUAAGAAUAACCAGAACUCUACUGAUCCUGGGGGUGGCCAACAAAGAAUUGAGUCAGAGUCUGCUAAGACUGUUGUGGAAAGUGAAAAGGCAUCUACUUUAACUGGAAAUUCUAAACCAGUAAAUACAUCUCAAGAAUUUUCACAGAUAUUGCACAACAGAAGUGAUGGACAGUUACACUCAGGUACAAACACAGUUUGUUCACAGAGCUGCCUCUCAGGACAUAGCAAGGCUAUGGACCAUCCUGGUGAAAUGCUAGUCAACCAUAGUCCUGGUGACAUACAUUCAGUGAGUAGUGAAUCUCAAACUCAUGCUUCUAAAGACUCAAAUUGUUUCUCUUCCAAAAGUGCCUGUUUGCUUUUGUCUGACCUCACGUCCUUCAGUGCUGAAAAUAAUACAAAGGAUGAUAUUAAAACUGAAUCUUUAGUAGAUGAACUGGCUCUGCAGGUUGAUCAAGAGCUGAAAGGGUACUGUGAUGGCCUGGCUAUCUUGAGCUAUGCUGCAACAGAAUGUAGCAAUAAAAACACAGACUGUGAUAUUGGGGCUGAGAAGAACAAGUUUUGUGAUAUGGGAGAAGACUUUCAUGACCUGGAAGUCCUUGAUGCUAACUUUGAUGGAGCUUCUACAGAAGAUUUACUCCUAAGUGAUGGUGAAUUAGAAGAGAGUUUGUUGCUUCCAAACAAUGUCAAUUUUGAAGAUUUUGAUUUUUCAUCAGUUGGUGCUAACUUCACUGGUGAUAAAAGUGAGAUUAUUUUUGGUUCUGGUGGCUUAAGUCAAGUUCAGGAUGCUGACAAUUGUCCUGAGAUUUCAGUUACAGCACAAGUAGAAAACAAAUCCUUUCCUACACAUCUAGAGGUUAAUGUUGAUAGAGAAGUUUGGGAGGAGGAACAAAUGCCUUUGAGUCUUCCGCCAUUAACCUCUGAAUCAAUAAUUCAGCAUUCUAGAGUGCCUGUGUGUGAAAAUGAAGGAAGUAAAUCAUUCAUAAAUAACUCAACCAAAGAUGUCAACGAAAGUGACAAAUUAGCUCUUGUAACAUUUAUUGGGAGUCAGCCAAAAGAUUUGACUUCAAUAAAAAUCAAGUUAGAAAGUGGGGGCUACCAGACUGUUCAAGAAUUCUGUGAUGAUAUAAUUAGAGUGUUCCAAGCGUGCAACAGUAGAAGCCAUCAAAAAAUCUUCGAAGUAAGAAAUCUCUUUGCAAAGCAAAUGGAGAAGGUAUUUCCAUGGUUCAAGAUACAAAUGUUUAAGCUUUGGGGUGUACAUAGUGCACCUGAAGUACCUGAAGGAGUACUUCCUGAAGCUGUUGUUCCACCACAUCUUGAUCAUAUGUAUGCUCAGUAUCUUAGUCGAGCAGUCAGAGAACCAUUGAUCCAACCAGGAAAGCUGAGAAAACUAAAAGGUGGAGAUCAAAAAGAAAUGGGGCCAUCUUGUGAUCCUCGCAAGUGUGUCCUUUGUUCACAAUAUGGAGAUGCUGAACCUGCUGAAUCUGGACGACUAAUAUAUUGUGGCCAAGAUGAUUGGGUUCACAUCAACUGUGCUCUUUGGUCAGCUGAAGUAUUUGAAGAAGUUGAUGGAUCCCUUCAGAAUGUGCAUGCUGCCAUUUCACGAAGUCGUUUGUUGCGAUGUGAUGUGUGCAGUAUUGCUGGUGCUACAGUAGGGUGUUGUAUUCGUGGGUGUCCAGCAAACUAUCAUUUCAUGUGUGCCAGAAACUUGGGAGCAGUGUUUCAAGUGGAUAAGAAGGUAUAUUGUACAGAACAUGCUGACUGUGUGGAUCAAGAGGUUGUUAAAGAUGAUGGAUUUUUGUUGGAUCGAUGUAUUUAUGUUGACCAAGAUGGGAUUGCACCUAAGUGGGUUAGGAAGUCUUGGCAGAAUGGAGUAGAUUCAAGAAGCUUAACUGUCUUAAUAGGAUGUAUGACAGUAGAAAAGAUCGGGUAUCUUACCUCAGCAUCCGAUUGGAAACAAGCUCUUAUUCCUGCAGGCUAUUGUUGCACAAGAGUGUUUUGGAGUACUAAGAAUCCCCAACAAAGAGUUGUUUAUACCUGUCGUACUUAUGAAGUUUGGCCCGAGAAGUCAUCAGUUGAAAAAGACAUUGAGGAACAUCAAACAAUAGCUCACAAUAUGGAAGAUGAAUUUCUUUGUUCCACUGAACUUUCAGAUUCUGUAUCACUGAAAACAGACAUGAAAAAUCUUAGUCAAGAAGUGGUUUCUGCUUGCAGGGAUAAGUUUCAACAUCUCCAGGAUUUCACAGAUUCUGAGAAAUCUUUUGAAAUAUCUCAAACCAGAGAAAUGCAUAACUUAUCAAGAGACAUUCCAGAAUUGUCCAACCUUAAUAAACAUUCUGUCCAUAAAAAUGUGAACAGAGUACAUUACUGUGAUACUGACACUCCAGAGGUUGCAGAUAAAUCCAGAACAAAUGUCACUAACCAAUCCAUAAAUGCAGCUUUUGAAAAGAAUUUAUCAAACUUCUUGCCUUGCAAAAGAAAGUCAUCUCUUGAAUUUGAACCUAAAGAAAUAAAUUUGCAUAAUGAAUUAGCUAAGAUAAACUUAGAUGAUCAAAAAGCUUAUGCCUCAGACAUUGAAAAAAUAUUCAAGUUAUCAGACCAACAUCAGAAAAGAGAUUCUGUGAUAAUUCAGUCAAAGACACAGAAGAGUAUAAACAAGUCUGAUAAUUCUGUCACAGAUAAUAGAAAUGACAGUAAUAUAGCAACGAGCUUAGCUUUAAGAAAAACUCAAGUGACAUGUGACAAUAAUUUAGGUUUUAAAAAUUCUGUUAAUGAGCUUACAAACAGAGAGAAAGCACAAUCAUUAAAUAAUUCUUCUGAAGUUCAAAAAAAGGAAGCAACAUAUCAAGAAAUAAGGAAUCCUUUAAAACCAGAGUCUUUAGAAUUUAAUACAGAUGCAAAUAUUAAUACUGAAACUUGUGACUCAUCUUUUACAAGUGCUAGUUCAAAUGCUUGCAACAAAAUUACAAAUUUCAGCCCAUACAAUGGUGACAGCUUGGAAAAAGCCAAUAAUUUCACUUUUGGCUUGGUGAGGAAUUUUAAUAUUUCUUGUGAUAAAGAUAUGGGUGCUUGUUCUUCUGUUUGUGACACACUGCAAAAUGUUAGAUCUGUUUCUUGCAAUACAAAAGCAGAUGUUAGAACUGCUCUUGUAGACUUAGAAAAAGUAAGUGAAAAAUCUUGUGACACAGUGACUGAAAUCAGUACUAAUUUUGACACAGUUACAAAAGUCAAAGCUGCUGGUACUUAUGCAGUUAAAAAUGUCAGUGAUGUUAUUCCAGGCACAGCAGCAGAGGUCAGUGCAACUAUUCCUAACACAAGUACAAAAGUCACUGGUACUGUUAUUAACACAAUUACAAAAGCUAGCACUCCAGUUGACGACACAAUUACCAAAGCUAGCACUUCUGUUCACGACACAAUUACCAAAGCUAGCAUUUCUGUUCAUGACACAAUUACCAAAGCUAGCACUUCAGUUGACGACAAAAUUACGAAAGCUAGCACUUCUGUUCACGACACAGUUACCAAAGCUAGCACUUCAGUUGACGACAAAAUUACGAAAGCUAGCACUUCUGUUCACGACACAGUUACUAAAGCUAGCACGUCUGUUCACGACACAGUUACUAAAGCUAGCACGUCUGUUCACGACACAAUUACCAAAGCUAGCACUUCUGUUCACGACAUAGUUACCAAAGCUAGCACUUCUGUUCACGACACAAUUACCAAAGCUAGCACUUCUGUUCACGACACAAUUACCAAAGCUAGCACUUCUGUUCACGACACAAUUACCAAAGCUAGCACUUCUGUUCACGACACAAUUACCAAAGCUGGCACUUCUGUUCACGACACAACUACAAAAGCUAGCGCUUCUAUUGAUGACACAAUUACAAAAGCUAGCACUUCUGUUGACGACACAAUUACAAAAGUUAGCACUUCUGUUGACGACACAAUUACAAAAGUUAGCACUUCUGUUCAUGACACAAUUACAAAGGUCAGUACUGCUGAUCCUGGCACAGCUACAAAGGUUAGCAUUUCUGUUUCUAGCACAGCUAAGAAAGUCAAUGCUGCUGUUACUGGUAUAGUUGAAGAGAUGAGUAGUAUCUCCUGUGACACAGUCAAUAAAGUUAGUGAUAUAUCUUUUGAUAGAAUGUCAAAAGUCAGUGCAUCAUCUUGUGAAACAAAACUCAGUGACACUACUUGUAAACUGGCUACAAAAGUAAAAGCUGCUGUUGACACAGUUAAAAAGAUUGAUACGUCAUAUGACAGUAAAAUGCAAUGCAGUCCUGUAACAAAUAAUGCUACAUCUUGUGAGACAGCUGGAACAGUUAAUACCAGAUUUUGUGAUAGUUUGACAAAAGACAUUGCAUUUUCUUCUGAUAGUGUUAGAAGAUCUGAUGCAUCUUCUUUUUCCAGCAUCAUUUCUUGUGAUACUGAUAAAAAUAUUUGUGUCCAUUCUUGUGACAAAAUUUCAGGUAUUGUGCCAUCAUUUGACAAGGUGGAGGAAGAAGAAUUUAUGACCUGUGACAAAGAUAUUGUGAAUGUAAAGGACCAAGAAGCUUUGUCCGUUCAGUUUUCAGAGAGUAGAAAUCAGAAAGAGAAACUCACAGAAAUCACAUCUGAACAAAUGAAAGAUAGUAUUUUAGAAAAUAAUUCUUAUACUGAUAUAUCAUUGUCAAAUAGUCAAGAAAAUAAAGAAACUGAAGUCCUUAAAGAGAAUGAGUUUGAUAAAAUUAAGGAAGAACCAAAAAAGGUUUCUGGAGAUAUAUUGAAAGCAAGUUGUGUUCUUAAGCCUUCUUUUUGUAAGGAAAAGCAAAAUGCUAAAGAAUCCAUAGAUGUUUCCUUUUCAAAUAGAAGACAUAAAAAAGGUGAUGUUGCUAUUUAUGAUGAAAAUUUAUAUGUGGACAAAAGUAAUGUAUUAAAUUCUACUUUAAAGGUUGAGAAUAAAAUUCUUAGUCUUUCGGAUGAGUUGACAACAAGCAAGUUAGCUGCAAAGCAGUCCACUUGUCCCAGCAAAAAUUGUAUGUAUGAAAAAGAAACAAUCAUUAAAGAAUGUAGUGGUAAUGAAAUAAGUAAACAAGAGAAUUCUCCAAGGACAGAUGUUCUAAGUGUUGAAUCUUGCAAAAAUGGCAACUCUUCUGUUAGUUCCCAGAAAAAAAGAAAAAGAUGUUCAACUGAAGUACUAAAAAAAUACCCUUUGAGGAAUCGUCGUUAUCAAAAUGCUGACCUUCUCAAAUCAGAAAAGGUAGAAUCUUGUGAUAACAAUGCUUUUGCUGUUAAAAAUGAGAAGCUGUAUCAAAAUAAUAUUGAUUCUUCUAUUAAAGUAAAUAAAGAAACAAGCAGAUGCUUUGUAAAUGGGAAAAAAAAUGCACAUUGUACUGAACACACAAAACAAUUAAGUUACCCAUUAAAACGUAAGCUGAGACAUACACCAGCUCGUUUGUCUAGUUUGUACAGCAGGCUUGAUUCUAACACUGUGGAGAGGUACCUGAAAAGUCAUGAAAUUGAGUUUGAACAUAAAAUAUCCCACCCAAUAAAUGGGUUCAAAAAGCAAGCUCACCAGGAAGAGCUAAUUGUGAAUGGGAUCACUAAGGAAUUAGAUGUCAGUAAUUGUACUUAUGAAGACUACAAGACUAGUGUAGGUGUUGGUUCUGUGAAUAAGAACUUUUGUUUUGUUGAAUAUUCUGCUAAAAAGAAAAUAUUAAAAGUAUCAGAUACUAAUGACCAGAACUGUGAUAGCUUUCUAGAAAAUAACAGUUCGCAUUUAAAUGAAUUUCAGAUCCAACUUGAGAAUAAGCUCGCUAGGCUUCCUGUUGUAUCUGAACUAAACAGUGGUUCAAAAAUAAGCACUGUUCAGUCUUUUAAAAAUGAAGCUGUAGAAAGAUCAUUCACAAAACUCCCUAUAUCAUGUUCUAGUCCAAACCAGUCUACUAAAGAAUCUCAAAACGCGUCAAUAAACCAUUACUUCAGAGAAAAAGAGCAAUCUUCUUGUACAGAUCAUACCUCAGAGGUUCCUUUCCAGAACACAUCUCCAGAUCAACUCAACGAAAAAAAUGUCCAGAAAUCCCCUUUAAUAGAUUGCAGCAUAGUGAAAUCUCUUGAGAAAGCAAAUGUAAAUCAAUCUAUCGAUGAAGUUACUCAAAAAACAUCAACAGAACAGCUUGGGAUGAAAGGUUAUCAGAAAUCUUUUUGUACAGAAACCACUAACAAGGAAGUUAAGAACUUAUCCUCAGAAGAGAGAAUUGAAGAUGCUGAAUAUGAUUUGUCUUGUACAAACUACCACAUUAAAAAAUCUCUACAAACCACAUCCACAAAGCAAAACAAGAGCAAUGUUUCUCAAGGACAUUCUAACACAAAACACUCAACUGAUGAUCUACAAAACACACAUGAAGAUCAUUUGGUUAAUGAUGUUUCGAAAAGCACAUUCCCAGAUCAGAGCAUUAAGGAUAACUUCCAGAAGUUUUCUCCAAACCCACCUACUAAGGAUGUCUUGCUUAAUACAUCUAAUCCAAUCCAAAAUAUUGCAAACCCUUUGCAGGAAGCAUGUUCAGUUCUGUCUUUCAAUAAAUCUUCACCAACUGCAGUUAGCUUGAAAGUACCUGUUGAUGAAAAGUGUGUAAAUCAGGGACAUUUGAUGAAUAACCAUAAAUUAGAAGAGUCAGGGUAUGUAAUAAAUAAACAUUUUUUGCAGACUUCUAAAGAAGCUAGUGUUUCUCAAGAUGAAUUUUCAAGUAAUUCAGCACAAAAUCAUGUAAAUUUGCAAGUUAGUAGUGAGCUGCCGAGAUCCAGUGAAAAAUCUCUACUCAAUAACAUUGCCCUUUCUUCAUUAAGUAGAACCUCAUCUGCUGAGAGGAAUGAAUCUGAUCAGGAGUUUAUAAACCAGUUUAAGUCACAUGAUAAUAUUUCAAAUAACAAGAUGGAAAAUAGUAAGAAAAGUAAUACCAUAGCUGUUGAAUGUAAACCAAAAUCAAAAACAUUUAUAGGAUUAGGAGAUGUUUCACCUGGUUUAAAAAAACGAAACCGCACUCAAGAACAAAGAAAAAUCAUGCCAAAUAUUUUGUCAUCAAAGAAACAUAUUCUUCCCAAAAAACCAGCAGUAGUAGUACAAGAAGCAUGUUCGUCAGUGUUUACUCAGUCUGUGCCUAGUGAUAUUAGUCUUCCAUAUGGGCUGACAUCUGUUCAACAUCUUCAGGAAGCACCAGUAGCUAGUGGAAUAAUGGGUGUCAAUAAUAUAGUCAUGGGAACAUCGAUAAACCCUGUUGCUGUUCCUAUUGAAAACCAUAUACAACCUAGUGUUUUUUUACCAUCAGGUUCAAACUUUACAAAUAACAUGGAAAUAAGACAGGUCUCGGGAGGAACUGUUUUAGUACCUGCAGAUAAUAGCAGUUACCUUGAUGGUACUUUUUGUGGAACCCAAGUGCCAACAUUAUUAAAUGGACUGACUGCUUCGGCUUCUCCAGUUUUGAAUGUAGCACAGAAUUCACAGAUUACUUACCUUGGUUCAUUCAGCCUUCCUAAUGGUGAUUUCAACUCCUUGACCAUGAAUCUUGAAACAUUUAUUGCCCAAAAACUGAGUGUAACUCUUCCAGUCCCUCAAGUCACUAUUCCCAAUGUGUUGGUAAAUCCUGUUGUUCAGUACUCUUUCUCAGAAACUAGGUACCAGGUUCAAAACACAUUUCCUAUCAUUAAUAAUAAUCUUUCGGAAUUUUCUGGACCUUGUUCUAGUUUCCAAGCAGCUUUACCACAAACCCUGAUAUCAACACAGCAGCUACCUGUUAUACAGCAACAUCUUACUCCAGUUAACUCUGUUCCACUAAAUACUGUGAAUCUUAAUUCUCCUUUGGUUUCUACAGUUCAUCAUAACAGUCCUCUAGUUUUUACUUCUCCUCCUGAGAACAGUCAGUUGCUUACACCAACCAAUCAUACCAUUCAGCUUGUCAAUGGCUCUUGGCCAACUCAGGCAACACUCCCUACUUCCUGUUGGGGAGCUAACAUUGAGCAUACUCAAAUUUCACCAAUUUUGCAAGUGGCAGGACAGUUCAAACACUGUCAAAAUGUUGUAAAUCAGUCUUCUGAUUCUCACAUGGAUAUAGGGUUUCCAAAGACAUCAGGAACUACUAUUCAACAAGUAGAAACACAGUGUUUAUCAAAUUUAAAUGUAGAAAAUAGUUCAAAUAUUGAAAUGACCACACCAUCUUGUGAUAAGUCAGAAAAACAUAUACUGAAUAAAACAGUUCUUGACAAGGCAGCCCAACAGAUGAUAUCACUUUCUUCUCAGCUUGUAGGAAAGCAACAGCAUCAAGCUUCUACGGGUGACUUAUCCCAAAAACCUACAAAAUCGAAACUUCCUUUUUUUCGAUCACGUGUUAAAAAUUUUAGGAGUUUUCAGAAUAGUAAAUAUGAUAAGGUAAAGGAAAAAAAACUUGCCAUUUGUAGUAAGCCUAUUACAUCUAAAGAAACUGAUACUUCCAAAUCUCUGUCAGCAAUAGCUAUGAGGCUACCUGUUCAAGGAACUAGUUUUCCUGCACCUGCCAAUCACAUUCUACAGCCAAAUUAUCCAUGUUUAGGUGAAAUGGAAUGUAAUAAUUUGAACACACAGCCUUCUGUUAGUAAAGUACCAUUACCCUCACCACUGUAUAUUCCAAGGACAAAAAGCACACAUGUAAGCUGUGCAACUUUAGAACCAAAGAUGAACAAAACAGGGAAAUUUGAUCAGUCCAUAGUUGAUCUUACUGUUUUUUCUGGAACAGAAGAUGAAAAUGUUGAACCAAAUAAUAAGAAAGGUAGUUUUUCCAACCAUGUGACUAAAAUAUAUAAUGCUGAAAAUCUUAAAGCUAAAGACCCUGUUCCUGGUAAAAAAGUUGACAAAGUUACUUUGGAAAACAAUAGGACUUUUUCAUCCACCUCUUCUCAAGUGUUAAGAAAAGCCACAUCCCCAGCACACUCCAGUAAGGAAAAUUCUUCAUUAUACUCUGCCAGUUCCAGUGCUCCUGAAGUCAUAGUUCUUCCUAAGCAUAGACCAUUAGUAGAUACUGAAGGAGACCAGCAUGAAAUAGACUGUUCCAUUCUCAUGGCCUUGCAUCAGCAGGAACAGUUAAAUCUCAGCUCUGCAGAAGACAAAAAUCCUAAACAAAAUCAGCCUUUUAUUGUGUUUGAAGUCAGCAGUACUGAUGGAUUCUAUGCAAGUUCUCAUGAUCUUGAUGAAGUGUGGAAUGUUCUGUGGGAAAGAAUAGCAGAUGCUAGGGCAGCUGCUCAUCUACCACCACUGAAUCUUGACAACAUUGAUGGACUGGCUUGGAUGGGCUUAAAACAUGAAGCAGUGGUUUAUAUGUUGGAGCAGCUUCAUGGAGUAGAGGAAUGCAAUAACUACACUUUCCGUUUCCACCGUCCAGUAGGAUCAAGGGAGAAGCUUCCUGAGAAUCCAACAGGGUGUGCUCGAACAGAACCUUACAGAAACAGGAAAGAGCAUGACAUGUUCAACUUCCUUGCUUCUCAGCACCGUAGGCCUCCUAUGUUUCAUUCUGCUCAUGAUGAAGAUCUAUUCCUGAAGUCUACACGGCGAGCCACUAGUCUAGAUUUGCCAAUGGCAAUGAGGUUUAGACAUUUAAGGAGCACAACCAGAGGUGUUGUUGGAGUAUACAGGUCACGUAUCCAUGGGCGUGGACUCUUCUGCAAACGUACCAUAGAUCCUGGUGAGAUGGUUAUAGAAUAUGCUGGUGAAGUAAUAAGGCCUGUCCUAACUGACAAGAGGGAGAAGUACUAUGAAAGCAAGGGUAUUGGCUGUUACAUGUUUCGAAUUGAUGACAAUGAAGUAGUGGAUGCAACAAUGUGUGGAAAUGCUGCACGCUUUAUUAAUCAUUCAUGUGAACCCAAUUGUUAUUCAAAAGUUGUCACUGUUGAUGGAAAAAAGCAUAUUGUGAUCUUUGCUCUAAGGAGGAUAAACAAAGGAGAGGAGCUAACUUAUGACUAUAAAUUCCCAUUUGAAGAUGUGAAGAUUCCCUGUACUUGCGGCUCAAGAAGAUGUCGCAAAUAUUUGAAUUAAAUUUGCAUCUAAUAGGUCCACCACAGCAUGUUGUGAGCAGGGUUAAGCUUAUUAACAUAAAGAAAAUUUUGAAAAAAGCAAGGACUUAUUCAGAAUUUCAGGGAAAUUCCUCAAACCUGCCAAGAGCUGGUCACUUUUUGCAUAUUUAAUAUUUUUGCACCACGUAUUGGCAGGUAACGUGGCAGCAAGAAGUCCAUAAAGUUCAUCAAUAAAGGUAGCAGUUAGAUUGUGAAAGUUUGUAAGUGCAACUUCAUUGAGUUAAUUUGUGUGAUUAGCAGAAAGUUUUCUUGGAAACAUGUUGAAUCGUCCACCUAGUAUAACCAUAUUUCAUUGCUAAAGAUUCACUAUCUUUGUACAAAUAGGCAAAUGUGCCACAUUUCUUUCUUGAAACAUCAUUACGAGCAUAUCAUUAUGUAAGCUGAUAGCUUAAGAAUGUGUAAAUGGAAAUUCCUAAUGAUAUUUGAAGUAACUGACUCACAGAGAUUUUGAUUGGAACAAGUUAUUGACAUUGUAGUGAAAGUCAAGAUAGGUGUGCCAAUCCAACUUUGUAACUGACACAACAAUGUGUUUCUUAAAUGUGUUUUUUGUUGGUGCUGAGGUUAAAAAAAGUUAAUACAACUGAAAUUAGAGGCCUUUACAUAAAGAUUGUUUUUAAAUGUUUUUAGAAAUUUCCAAAAAGGAAAAAAAAUGCUGUGAUUUCCAAAUUUUGCAAUGAUUCACAUUUUUGAAUAGUAGUCUAGCAGAAUUAAGUCCCUUAGAUCUAUACUAGAGAAUUGAAUAAUAUUAAUAGCUGAUGUUGUAAUUGGUAAUGACAGCUUUUAUUGAUCAUAUUCAAUGUCAAUUUUAAAAUGCCUUUGAGUGUCCAAAGUACCCAUCACCAAAAAAAUAAUAAUAAUGAUUUUUUAUGUUCUUUGUUUUAAUAAGAUUACUGAAUAAUAUCAUUUUGACAACCAUUGCUUUCCAAUCUUGAGAAUUUCAAGUUCAUAACAUGAACAGCCUCAUAAAACACUGUACAAUGAUACUGUUGUAUUCAGUAAUCAUUCCUUGAUGGUCAUAAAAGUAAGUCAUUUCAAAAUGCAUGUCCAGAAUUUGAAGAUGGCUUUACAAUUCUUGCUAGGAAAUCAGAAUUACAUGCAUUUGUAGUUAAUUGUGAUUUUACAUUUUAAUUCCAUUCCUUCACUUAGUUAUUGCAUAGUAAUUUUCAUUUACAAUGUUAGCAUGAAUCCUUAUGAGGUUUAUUUCUGUAAUUAAGAUUAGUAUAACAACUAAAACAAUUAAAAAUUGCUUUUAUCCAUGUAUCUGGAGUAAAAAGUAUAGCAAUGGUCAUUUGAAUAAAUACAUUUGACUUAUUUUGUACCAAAAAUUCAGUAUAUGGUAUUUGUCUUUUAGUAAUAUUUUAACCAUUAUAAUAAUUCCAGUAAUAGAGUAAUUUGUACAUUGUGUAAAUCAAUUUUUUUUUCACCUCUGUUUUGUAAUUAUUUUCAAGGGACUACAAUUAGUUGUUUAGUAUAUCCAUUUUGUAUGAAAUAGUUUCUUAAAAAUUAAUCAUGCUAGUGUAAACAGUUAAACUGUUGUCUCUGUAACAUGUAGGUUUUUGAUGUCUAAUGUUAAAAAAUGCAAAAGUAUAUAGAAGCAAGCUGCUUUAAGUAACAGAAUGAUAGUAAAAUUACAGAAAUCACACUUAUUAACAGAAGUUUCAGAUCCACUUAUUAUUAGGUUAUUUUAUCUGAAUGAUUUUGUGAAUGUGAGGAAGAUUAUAGCAGUAGGUGAAAUCUAUAGUUAAUUACUACUUUAUUAGUUUAUCUAAAGUUAAAAUGUGCUCAAAUAUAGAUAACAAUCUUAAAUAAUUUGUUUUCUAAAUUAAAAUAUAUAUAUAUAUUGAUUGGGGAAUUGUGAAUCCAAGUUAGUGAUUUUAAAGUUUUUGAUACAUUAAACAUUGGAGGUUUAAAAAUCUUAUUUGGUAUAACAAUCACAAAUAGAACAACCGUAUUCGGGUGGUUUUCUAUAUUUGAUUCAACUUGUGUCAUGUUGACUUAAAAGGUCAUUUUGUCUUUCACAGCAAUUGAUGUGAUGCACUUAUUUUUCUAACAAAAAAGUGCCUUUUUUACUCAUUACUAGAAAAAGAAAACCAUAAUGGGAUUUGGCUUAAUUUUGUAUAGUUGUCUAAUCUUAAAUCUCUCAUGGUUUUGAUGACACAGUAUGAAAUUGUGAGACCUAAAUUUGUUCUCAUGGCAUCAAAGAUGUCUUGUGUAAUGUCUACCAUUAAAAGUAUGAGAAUAGUAACUAUCCCAAUAAUCUUCUUGUAAAAAUAGAAUUAAAAAGGUAUAAUUUGAGAGCUAUGUUUAAAAAAUGGAUCUUUAACAGAAGAUAUAUUAUACUGGAUAAAGUUGUAGAUAUUUCGUAAAAAAAAAGUGUAGGAAAAAUAUCAGUUGUAGAGCAUUUGAGUUUAUUAUGGCACUGGUCUAUUUUAAGCAGUUUUCAAUAUUAUAUGAUUGCUUUAGGCAUUCACUUUUUUGUAAGUGUAUUUCAAUUAAUCCAGUUAGAGUAAUUUAAGUGAACUUUCUCAGUAUUCAUAUGUAAAAGUCAAUCGGUGAAUAAGCUUUUAAUCCAAUAAAAAUUUAAGCUUGCUAUAUGUUGAUUUAGAAGCACCAAUGGAAAAUAUUUUUUUACAGCCCUAUUUACUUUAAUUUUUUUCAUAUUUGAAAUUUAGCUUCUACAUUCAAAAUACAAAAUAUUUUAAUCUUUUCUUUAUAUUGAACGUUAGCUACAAGAACAGUAUUUGACUGCUUAUAUGAUGAAGUUUAUACUUCAUCUAGAGAAGCAUUAUAAGAUGUUAUAUAACUGUAGCCAGUUUGAAUCUUUAAUUUUUUUUUUUAAUUCUUGGUAUUUUACUCUUUGGUGUACGGUUAUUAUCAAUUUUGAUGGUGUUUUCUUGGAGAUUUAGAUAACCCCAAAAAUUGUUAUAUUCUGUGAGAAUACAGUAGUUCGGCCCUUUGUGUAUGAGAAGAAAUCUAAAAGGUGAUAAAAACAUUCUUAAUGAUUAAUUACUGGAAGCAGUUUUAAAUAAUUUUUGAAUCAUAAACCUGAGAACUAAGCAUUUCUUAUUGAAAGCUGCAAAGAUUUAGUGUUGUUGGUUGCUGAAAUAUUUUUGACAUUACGUGUCAUAUCUUACCAGUAAAACUGUGUGACCAGUAUUCCUGCUGUAUAAUAUCACACGUGCAGCUUCUCAGACAUAUGGGUACAUUGCUAAAACUACCCAUUAACAGUAUCACAUUUUCUUUAAUAUGAUAACUGAGUUAAAUCAAACAGCACUAAUCUUGCAUGAAAGUGAGAUGUUAUUGUCAUACAGCAUACCUGAGAUGACUGUUGCAGAAAUAUAGCAUAGAUCACAUAACUAUCCACUCGAAUAGGCGGAUACUAACAACAUUGCCGAACAUGAUUUUGUUCUGAAAUAACUAAAUGAGAAACUUAACAUUAAUCAUAAAAGCUUCCACUUGAGUGUCAAUACACAUGCAAUUUUCUGAAAAAUGAUUACACACGUGACUUAAGAUACAGUACUAGAGACAGCAUUAGGAACACAACUUCCUGUCCAAGCACAUAAUGACCUUCUUAAAUGACUUAGACACAGCAUCAUUCACACAUCUGCAUACCAGUAUGUAAAGAAUAACUUCAUAAAUAUUAGAAAAUGGUCCACUCAGAAUUUUGUUGCUUAAAAGUGUAUUACAUCAUCUUUGUAUUCAUAAAAAUGGAAGAAUUUGUAUAGUUGUUUAUUAGCAUGAGAUUGUUACAGCUAAAACUAACUACUGAGAAUAAAAUAUAUUACUAUAAUACUAGAAUUAUGUAGUUUCUUGAUGUUUAGUCUAUUCUAGUUUGUAAAAUGUCUGCAAUAUUAAAAAAAAUCGAUUGUUUUAAAUUGUAAAUACUAUAGAAUGAAGUUUAGAAGUGAAUGACCAUAAGAAAUAGUAGUGGCGCUAUGGUACCCAUUAUAUUUCAUUCUGUGAUGUUUUUGUAAACUGAACAUCCUUGUUUUGAAUGUUUUGUUGUUCUCCUACUGUCAUUAUGUACAUAAUCAUAGUUGAAAUAAAAGUAAUAAAGGUUUUAUCUUUUCAGAAAAAUAA
rnacentral:misc_RNA from 1 species